AGGGACAGGGUACAGGCCAGGAGGCAGCAGAGUUCUGACCCAGACCAGGAGGCAGCAGAGUUCUGACCCAGACCAGGAGGCAGCAGAGUUCUGACCCAGGGACAGGGUACAGGCCAGGAGGCAGCAGAGUUCUGACCCAGACCAGGAGGCAGCAGAGUUCUGACCCAGGGACAGGGUACAGGCCAGGAGGCAGUAGAGUUCUGACCCAGGGACAGGAGGCAGCAGAGUUCUGACCCAGGGACAGGAGGCAGCAGGGUUCUGACCCAGGGACAGGGUACAGGCCAGGAGG